rnacentral:rRNA from 1 species
AGUGAACGCUGGCGGCAGGCCUAACACAUGCAAGUCGAGCGGCAGCGGGUCCUUCGGGCUGCCGGCGAGCGGCGGACGGGCGAGAAAUGCAUCGGAAUCUGCCCUGUCGUGGGGGAUAACCUAGGGAAACUUAGGCUAAUACCGCAUACGACCCACGGGUGAAAGCGGGGGAUCGCAAGACCUCGCGCGAUAGGAUGAGCCGAUGUCCGAUUAGCUAGUUGGCGGGGUAAAGGCUCACCAAGGCGACGAUCGGUAGCUGGGCUGAGAGGAUGAUCAGCCACACUGGAACUGAGACACGGCCCAGACUCCUACGGGAGGCAGCAGUGGGGAAUAUUGGACAAUGGGCGCAAGCCUGAUCCAGCCAUGCCGCGUGGGUGAAGAAGGCCUUCGGGUUGUAAAGCCCUUUUGUCCGGGAAGAAAUCGUCUGGGCUAAUACCCCGGGCGGAUGACGGUACCGGAAGAAUAAGCACCGGCUAACUUCGUG